rnacentral:rRNA from 1 species
GACAAACGCUGGCGGCGUACUUAAGACAUGCAAGUCGAACGGGUGUCCUGCUUUCGGGUGGGAUGCUAGUGGCGGAUGGGUGAGUAACGCGUAGGAACCUGUCGUUAAGUGGGGGAUACCGCUGGGAAACCGGCGCUAAUACCGCAUGUGGUCGAGCGAUCGAAGAAAGCAGCAAUGCGCUUGAUGAGGGGCCUGCGUCCGAUUAGCUAGUUGGUGGGGUAAAGGCCUACCAAGGCGUCGAUCGGUAGCUGGUCUGAGAGGAUGGUCAGCCACACUGGGACUGAGACACGGCCCAGACUCCUACGGGAGGCAGCAGUUAGGAAAUUUUCACAAUGGGCGAAAGCCUGAUGGAGUAACGCCGCGUGGAGGAUGACGGCCUCCGGGUUGUAACUCCUUUUCCGAGGGAAGAGCAGAAGACGGUACCUCGGGAAGAAGCCUCGGCUAACUACGUGCCAGCCGCCGCCGUAA